UACGUAGGGGGCUAGCGUUGUCCGGAAUCAUUGGGCGUAAAGCGCGCGUAGGCGGCCCAGUAAGUCCGUUGUAAAAGUCAAAGGCUCAACCUUUGAAAGCCGAUGGAUACUGCUGGGCUAGAGUCCGGGAGAGGCGAGUGGAAUUCCUAGUGUAGAGGUGAAAUUCGUAGAUAUUAGGAAGAACACCAGUGGCGAAGGCGGCUCACUGGCCCGGUACUGACGCUGAGGCGCGAAAGCGUGGGGAGCAAACAGG
rnacentral:rRNA from 1 species